rnacentral:rRNA from 1 species
UAUAGAGAGAGGGUAGAUUCCAGGUGUAGCGUGAAAUGCGUAGAGAUCUGAAGGAAUACCGGUGGCGAAGGCGGCCCUCUGGCCUAAUACUGACGCUGAGGUUCGAAAGCGUGGGGAGCAAACAGGAUUAGAUACCCUGGUAGUCCACGCCGUAAACGAUGUCUACUAGCCGUUGGGGGGGUUACCCUUUAGUGGCGCAGCUAACGCAAUAAGUAGACCGCCUGGGGAGUACGGCCGCAAGGUUAAAACUCAAAUGAAUUGACGGGGGCCCGCACAAGCGGUGGAGCAUGUGGUUUAAUUCGAUGCAACGCGAAGAACCUUACCAAGACUUGACAUCCUGCGAAGUAUCUAGAGAUAGAUUCGUGCCUUCGGGAGCGCAGAGACAGGUGCUGCAUGGCUGUCGUCAGCUCGUGUUGUGAAAUGUUGGGUUAAGUCCCGUAACGAGCGCAACCCUUGUCCUAUGUUGCCAGCGCGUAAUGGCGGGAACUCAUGGGAGACUGCCGGUGACAAACCGAAGGAAGGUGGGGACGACGUCAAGUCAUCAUGGCCCUUACGUCUUGGGCUACACACGUGCUACAAUGGCCGGUACAGAGGGUUGCCAACCUGCGAAGGUGAGCUAAUCCCUUAAAACCGGUCGUAGUCCGGAUCGGAGUCUGCAACUCGACUCCGUGAAGUCGGAAUCGCUAGUAAUCGCGAAUCAGAAUGUCGCGGUGAAUACGUUCCCGGGCCUUGUACACACCGCCC